CUCUCAGUUCGGAUUGUAGGCUGAAACUCGCCUACAUGAAGCUGGAGUUACUAGUAAUCGCAGAUCAGAAUGCUGCGGUGAAUGCGUUCCCGGGUCUUGUACACACCGCCCGUCACACCACGGGAGUUGGAGACGCCCGAAGCCGAUUAUCUAACCUUUUGGAAGAAGUCGUCGAAGGUGGAAUCAAUAACUGGGGUGAAGUCGUAACAAGGUAGCCGUAUCGGAAGGUGCGGCUGGAUC
rnacentral:rRNA from 1 species